rnacentral:rRNA from 1 species
GACAGAGGUGCCGAGCGUUAGGCGGAAUCACUGGGCUUAAAGCGUGUGUAGGCGGGCCGUUAAGUAUCUUGUGAAAUCCCCCGGCUCAACCGGGGAAUGGCUGGAUAUACUGGCGGUCUUGAGCAGUCUAGGGGCAGAUGGAACAAGUGGUGGAGCGGUGAAAUGCGUAGAUAUCGGGAGGAACACCUGUGGCGAAAGCGGCGCACUGGACCAUAACUGACGCUGAGGCGCGAAAGCUAGGGGAGCAAACAGG